rnacentral:rRNA from 1 species
ACUCGAGUGGCGAACGGGCGAGUAACACGUGGGUGAUCUGCCCUGCACUUCGGGAUAAGCUUGGGAAACUGGGUCUAAUACCGGAUAGGAGCCAUCUUUAGUGUGGUGGUUGGAAAGUUUUUCGGUGUAGGAUGAGCUCGCGGCCUAUCAGCUUGUUGGUGGGGUAAUGGCCUACCAAGGCGGCGACGGGUAGCCGGCCUGAGAGGGUGUACGGCCACAUUGGGACUGAGGUACGGCCCAG